rnacentral:lncRNA from 13 species
UGGAAGUGAGAGAAGGCGCCGUCCCUUUUCCUGUGCGCCCCUCAGAGAAGCUAAGGGUUUCCUUCUGCUCUCCAUCCAUCUUGGUCCAGCCCCGCAGGGCUGCUGGAGGGUCCGACUCGCUCCUUUCCCCUCGGCGUGUGUGCUCCAACAGAGUGGUUGAUUCAGUGUGAUGGCUGCUGUCACUGAGGCUUCAAACUCUGGGGGGAAACAGCUUCCUAAUAAUAGAGAAACUAUGAUCUGGAAGCCCAGAAAAGAAUGUUUGGUGAAGAAUAUUCCAAAUGUUCCUGAUGGCAAGUCUGAAGAAAGUGAAUCUGCUUCUACCUUUCCCAAUCAAGGUGAUGUCAGUGGCUCUACUGAUAAUGGUUGGUACAAUAUAUAUGCUGACCUGGAUGUGUGGGAUAGUGAAGUCUCCAAUGUACCUGAGUCUCCAGGGCAGCAAGGUGCAUCUGAGUAUGAGGUGGAGGACUGGGAUAAAGAAUUGGAGGAGGCUACAUGUGGUCCUUACGAUGCUGAUGAUCUCUCCUGUGGAAGCUUUGAGGAAAAUAAUCUUUUCGGCUCUUAUGUAUGGGAAGAGGAUUGGUUUUACAACCCAGGCUGUCACCACACACCUUGCUUUGCUUUUCCACCACAAGUUAGAACAGUUGAGAAGGGCCAGUUUGAUGAUGCUGAUGAAUGAGGUUGACCCUGGUCAGAAAUAAAUUUGGCUUCUGAGCUGGAUUAUGUUCCUCACCCAUUGAGCUGUGUCAAGUCCCUUGGCUUUUUUGCAGAGUUGGGCCUGAGGCCAGAAAUGCGACACCAUUUCCAAGGUUUUGCUUAGACUGUUUCUGAGCUGUUCACAAACUGACCACCCUUGCCCUGGAGACAAGAGUGCGGGUGCUGGCUGUAAGGAGUCACUGCAUUUCUGGAGGUUUUGUUUGUAUUGUAUGUUACUAGUUAAUUGCCUGAGGAGAAAUAUUUAAUUUCUAAACUUCAGCUUGUUUGCCAGGCUUCUGUCAGUUUUGUCAUGCUGAUCCCUGUGUUUUUGUGUAACUUGUAGUUUUCUUUCCUUUUCAUUUUAUGCUGUCAGAUUGGUUUGGAUAGCUUUAAAAACUCUCCCUCCUUCAAGCUUCUCUGUUGUAUUUCCAUAUGGUUCUAAUGUCCAUUUGUGAUUCUGAUACUGCUGUUUAACAAAAUCAGCUGUGGCAAGUACAGAAGGAGUUGUUCUGUGUUUUUUGUGUAUUUCAGCAUAAAGGAAUUACAAACAAUGAUACACAUUUUGCAAAUACACGUGUUGAUUUAUAGGGGGGCCUGCUCCAUCUAGUAGGAAUGCUGGGUGCUUAAGGCUGCCUCCCAACAAAGAUUUCUCCACAUCAGACCUUCUUGUGUAUGGGCAUAUUACCCUAGAAUCCUACAGUUCUCUUUCUUACAUUCUCAUGCAACAUCAAGUGUGCAGUGACAAAGAAAAUAUCUCUGCUUAUAUAUAUAUAUAUUGCAGUAUAUAAUCUCUGUGUCCUGCAGCCAGUAUUGAAUUAAGGUUCCUGAUGCUGUUCUGCUGUUUGUGUUGUGGCAAAUGAGGAUAUGGGAACACAAAAUACCUCCACAGAGUCCCUAAGAGAAUAGCUGGAACGAGAACCACAUCCUUCUCACCUUUGGAGUUAAAGGAAAUGUUCUCAAAUGAAGUAUAUAAGUGGAUUGAGUGGCUGGUCACCUGAGUAACAAUAACCUUAAUCAUGCUCAUGUUUCAUUAAUCGCUUUUAUCUCAAAAAUGUUUUCAUGGCUUUGUGCUGAACUGGAGCACAGUACAAUGUUUGGGUUUUUUGGUUUGGGUUAUUUUUUUCAAUCAUCCAGUGUAUGGGACCAAAAUAAUUCAUGCACUAGUUUAGAAAGAGGAAGUGAAUGUCACAGUGAUGUUUCCUUAAUAUUUUCCUAGAGAGCACAGGAGGACAAGAACUUGUAAGACAAGAGCUUUUCUUUGGCUAGCUUUCAAUUCCUGGUUGUAUUCUGGUACCUAGCAGUCAAAGCAGAGUGGAAGCGUAGUGUUAAGGUUGCAAAAAAGAGGGCCUGGUCUUUUACUCCCAUAUGAUGGAGUAAUCUAGGGAUUAAUAUGUCUAUCAACACUUCCUCAGUUAUGCCAGUAACUGGCUCAUCAUCUCAAGUGAAAAGGUUGAUUUGCAAUUAUAAAUGCAGUAUUCAUAAAGAUAAAUUGAGUGCAGAUUACUUUUGAAGUAACAAUACACCAGUGAAUAAUAAAAAUUCCUCUGAAAACUCCCUGGUUCUUUAGUGAGCCGGUUUAUCCAGUGCAGGCCCAACUGUGGGUGACAAGGCCCAAGACUUCCCUGCAGAGGGCAGCAGAAAAUUGUCUGCCCUGCUCGGUGUGUGCUUAGCAGUGUGAGUUCCCCGGGCUGGAUUUCUAACACUGACAGCAAUUUAGAUCAGAGUUCUGCAUAGCCCUGUUGUUCCCCAGUGAGGUUGAUUCAUGGCCCUGAUUAGUUUCUCUUUUUUUUUUUUUUUAUUUCACUCUGAAGUAACACUUACUGGACUGAAAAAUUUCUCCCAUGGCUGAGUGAAGAACAUCACUUGACUUCAGGCUUAAUAUAUUUUUUUUUUACUAUGCUUGUGGGAGAUAUCCCACUGUAUUCAAUAAAGAUGAAACUAAUAGAAUUCUGUGGAAGCAAACCCAUCCUUUGUAGAAUUGUUUUAUAAGGAUAACCAAAAAGUCUUUAUAACACCGAUUAGGAUGAUUUUUCUUCCUGUACAGUUCCAAAAUUCCGUCAGUCCUGACUCUUCAAGCCAUUUUCCAUGCACUUUAUAAAUCAAGGUGGUUUUUUACCUUGUACCUUUAAUUGCAAUCAGUCUUGUCUGUCUCAAAGUUCUUACUAUUUGAGGAGAAAUUGUACUGAAUGGGUGCCUUGCUAAGCUGUUUGUAUUUUAAAUGACAGUAAACUUUAAAGAUUUGUUUUCAGUUUCCAUUUAAAGGUAAAACUGGCACCACCCCCUCCAGCUUUGGACAACCAGGAUUUUGCAGCAGAAGUGCACUGUUCUCUCUAGGGGUAUGUUGGCAAAUACAGCUUUGAUCAACUUGGCCCUGUGUGUUAGGGCACGGGCUUGAUGUAAAGCUUGAUCUGAACACUCUCAAACUUCAGGGGGAUUAGAAAACCAGAUGCAGGCUUCUCAGAAAGCAUCUGCCUGGAAGGAUUUGAAACCAAGCUCAUGGAUUCCCAUGUUUCUGCACUACAGAGUGUUUCAAAUUCCAUUGUGAGUCUUGCACCAAGCCUGUUUUGUGUUGACACAAGCAUGUCAUUCUAGGCAGGAACACUUGCAAUUAAAAACAGCUUAAGGUAACACAUGAGCCCACAGUUCACACCAACAGUCAACCCUUCAGCCUGCUCAAAUGAUUAGAAGGAACAGAGUGCCUAUCACAGGGCCAAGAUUAUAAAUCUUGGAUGUACACAAGAAACACAUUAGCAGUACAUCAGUUGGAAAACUUACCAGAAGUGUGAGAAGUUAAAUGCUCACACAUCUCUAACAAGAUUUUCCCCUUUCUGUACCCACAGUGUAAGAUGCCAUUCAAAGGACUGAGGCCCUGCUGCAGGUUAAUAGUUUUGCUGCGUUUAUGUUGUGGGGGCAGCUUAGGAGUGUGGCAUAAUAGGUGUCUCACAAGAACAGGGUACAACUUUGAAGCUGCCCUUGCUUUUCUUCUCAUUACCCCACUUUGUAGGUAAAGAUUAUGAUACCAGCCAGUAAAGUACUUCAAAUUUGCUGAGCAAGGAGUUUUGUCUAAAUAGUGAGGUGCUAAGAAACAAAAACAAAGCAGGUUUUGCAUUUUCUUUGAACAGCCAGCAAAGAAAUGAAAACUUGUUUUGGGUGCAUCUGUUGUUUCCUUUGAGACCUACAGGGAAUGAUUUGCAAGAGGAAGUAAUUGUAGGAAGUGUGUUCAUAUUUCCUGUUGAUAAGGUAGAGCACUUAAUUCAUACAUCAGAUUGAGACAGUGUUUAUUGCUUUUAUGUAACCACAAAAUCCAGCCCAUUUUAAAGUCACUACUGCUUCACUUGCUGGUUUGUCCCAUCUUUUAACUGGUCUGCUUUCACUUUUAGACAGAGAAAACGCCUUCACUGUUUGGGGGGACUACGUGAAUAAUUUCACAGACUAAAGCAAAAAUGCUGAUGGCAGCAGCUCAUCCUGACCAUCUGUUGCUUCUGAGGACACCAGUGUAAAUCCCUUUGUAACAAAGGUCAUUUUGUGAAGCUGG